UGACCUCUACACUCUAAAAAUGGCUGGGUUAUUUUUUAACCCAAAAUGCUGGGUUGAGUCUGUUGGGUUGUUUUGCUGGGUUAUUUUUUUACAUUUUAAACACUUUUUGGGUAGUUUCAGUUUUCUAGGUGUUGGGUUAAAACUGCUGGGUUAUUAUGUUGGGUUGUUUGAAGAGGCUCACGUGCUUCGCGCCCUUGAUGUUUGAAUGUGCUCAGCAAUGGUCGUCGUGAAAGGACAGAGUCACUGAAGCAGUUGUUUCAAGGUAAGUUUAUAUGCUUUUGUGAACAUUUCAUGAAUAUAAACAAGAUUAUAACAUUUUGCGAGACAGCAACGUGUUAAUUUAUACUGACUAAGACGACGGGUGUAAUUUAGAGGAAUGACGACUGUUACCUCAGAUCGCCAUUUACACAAAUUGACUUGAAUAAUCGUUCUAAGAUGUUUGAUAUGGCAUAUUAAUAAAAUUAAUAAAACAGAUGUUACAAAAUCCCCAUCACACGGUUGAUUACGUUAACUCAUGACAAUUUCUGUAAGCCUUUAACAAAGCGAGUCAAAACCGGUGGACCUCCGCAACCCACUUCGGCUUUUUGUGUCACACACGCGCAUAGUUUUCCCUUUCCCAGCUUAACAAGCGAUAGCGACGCUGUUAAAUUAAAUUUAGCGACAAACGAAUUGCUUUCUUGUCAUUCGAUAUGUAAAGACAGACCGCAAAGGGCGAGGCGCGAGCAGAAGCACAUGUUAACUUUACCGGCGGCGCCGCGGCGGAGGAUCACGGAGCCGUCGUCUACGCUGUCACUGAGGCAAAGACAAGAAGCACAUUCACUUCACAGUCGGUACGGCAGAGUGUGCAGAGUUUUUAUGUCCAUCCAUUGAUGAGGCUAGCAAGACCUUCAAACAACUUCAGCCAAUUGCAACAAAUGUGGUGGAAUUUCUUCUCUGGACAGAAUCCUCGAAACCCUUUCCUUUCUUCCUGGCCAUGGGAAACAUGCAGCAGACCUCUCAAUCUUUUUUCUCAAUCAGUCUCUCUGAAUACGGAAGUGACUUAAACUGCAAUUCGGCCAAGAUGGCGACGGCACGCACCGCCUACUUUAAGCUUCAAAAAUGCUCUUCACAAACCAAUAGGUGACGUCACAGACACUACUUGCAUAUUUUUUACAGUCUCUGGUUUAAAGGCAUUUUAAGUGCUUAAAAAAAUAAAUACCCCAGGCAAUGUGCUUCUAUGGGAAUUCCUGUAGUCUGUCAUUUUUCAAAUGGAUGAAUCCCCUGCUGUUCGAUUCCUUUGUACAUCUUUGUUCGCGACGAGUAACUUUAAUAAAUGAAGUAUUUUUAGUCAAAUACAUUCCAUUCUGUAAAACUUAAAACAUUUGUU